AAUUGCAACUCCCUUUUUUCUUCUUUGAUGCUCUCGGCCGAACUCCAAAGCCCACCCACCAACACUUCAAAUUUUCCAUCUUGCAAUUUAAUAUACAACCAGGGGUGAAGGAUCGCAUACGAGGAGACCCGGUGCUUGCGGAUCGUCAAGGACCUCACCCCAAUGCUUUUAACCACUCGUUUUUUCGACUAGUUUCUUCCCUAGCCUCGAGCUAGUAGUCGUCGCACAACAGAUUGAUCAGGAGAUUUUCUUGAUAGAGACGCACCACUGAUUUGCGUAAAGAUGGAAACGCGGAAUGCCAGCGAGUUACCGAACAAUCAGCGUGAAAUCAGAAUAAAAGAAGAAAAAGGAAGGUUGCUAACUUUGGUCGAUUUCGUUUUGGCGGCAAUCUUUGAAAGUAAUUCAAAUGUACGCUUGUAUAAAAGUUUAAACGUUAAUAACUCAUAUUGAUUUUAAGACUAUGGACGAGUGGUUUAGUUGUUACUUGGUGAGCGGGUAUACCCGGGUACGAAACCCGCGUGUUUAUUUUUAA